CUUCCUCCAUCUGGAUGCAUAGGGUGCCUAAGAAGAUGCAUCGUAAUCUAGACAUGUAUGUAUUGGACUAUAAAAUAUUAAUCAACAUAUGUUUGUAUGCAUAUUUAUUGAAAUUUUUGGGUCGUCGCACUUAGGAAGCCAACCAUCAUACCAGGCCAUUCACAUGGAGAUGUGCUAAUUAAGUGCAGCCAUUUGGAUGCCACUAGCGAUUGGCCGCAAGUGCCUCGUUCUUGCCCAUAAAAUUAAU
rnacentral:lncRNA from 1 species